GUGGGGAAUAUUGGACAAUGGGCGAAAGCCUGAUCCAGCCAUGCCGCGUGUGUGAAGAAGGUCUUCGGAUUGUAAAGCACUUUAAGUUGGGAGGAAGGGCAGUAAGUUAAUACCUUGCUGUUUUGACGUUACCGACAGAAUAAGCACCGGCUAACUUCGUGCCAGCAGCCGCGGUAAUACGAAGGGUGCAAGCGUUAAUCGGAAUUACUGGGCGUAAAGCGCGCGUAGGUGGUUUUGUAAGUUGGAGGUGAAAUCCCCGGGCUCAACCUGGGAACUGCCUCAAAAACUGCAUGACUAGAGUACGGUAGAGGGUAGUGGAAGUUCCUGUGUAGCGGUGAAAUGCGUAGAUAUAGGAAGGAACACCAGUGGCGAAGGCGAGUACCUGGACUGAUACUGACACUGAGGUGCGAAAGCGUGGGGAGCAAACAGAAUUAGAAACCCCUGUAGUCC
rnacentral:rRNA from 1 species